rnacentral:rRNA from 1 species
UAGGCCUAGGGAGGCAGCAGUGAGGAAUAUUGGUCAAUGGGCGGGAGCCUGAACCAGCCAAGUCGCGUGAGGGAAGACGGUCCUAUGGAUUGUAAACCUCUUUAGGCGGGGAGCAAUGCCGGGCACGCGUGUCCGGAGGGAGAGUAUCCGCAGAAUAAGCAUCGGCUAACUCCGUGCCAGCAGCCGCGGUAAUACGGAGGAUGCGAGCGUUAUCCGGAUUUAUUGGGUUUAAAGGGUGCGUAGGCGGAUUUUUAAGUCAGCGGUAAAAUGUCCGGGCUCAACCCCGUCCGGCCGUUGAAACUGGG